rnacentral:rRNA from 1 species
CCUACGGGGGGCUGCAGUGGGGAAUAUUGCACAAUGGGCGCAAGCCUGAUGCAGCCAUGCCGCGUGUGUGAAGAAGGCCUUCGGGUUGUAAAGCACUUUCAGCGGGGAGGAAGGCGGUGAGGUUAAUAACCUCAUCGAUUGACGUUACCCGCAGAAGAAGCACCGGCUAACUCCGUGCCAGCAGCCGCGGUAAUACGGAGGGUGCAAGCGUUAAUCGGAAUUACUGGGCGUAAAGCGCACGCAGGCGGUCUGUCAAGUCGGAUGUGAAAUCCCCGGGCUCAACCUGGGAACUGCAUUCGAAACUGGCAGGCUAGAGUCUUGUAGAGGGGGGUAGAAUUCCAGGUGUAGCGGUGAAAUGCGUAGAGAUCUGGAGGAAUACCGGUGGCGAAGGCGGCCCCCUGGACAAAGACUGACGCUCAGGUGCGAAAGCGUGGGGAGCAAACAGGAUUAGAUACCCCCAGUAGUC